rnacentral:rRNA from 1 species
GAUGAACGCUGGCGGCGUGCCUAAUACAUGCAAGUCGAGCGAACAGACGAGGAGCUUGCUCCUCUGACGUUAGCGGCGGACGGGUGAGUAACACGUGGAUAACCUACCUAUAAGACUGGGAUAACUUCGGGAAACCGGAGCUAAUACCGGAUAACAUGUUGAACCGCAUGAUUCAACAGUGAAAGACGGUUUUGCUGUCACUUAUAGAUGGAUCCGCGUCGCAUUAGCUAGUUGGUAAGGUAACGGCUUACCAAGGCAACGAUGCGUAGCCGACCUGAGAGGGUGAUCGGCCACACUGGAACUGAGCCACGGUCCAGACUCCUACGGGAGGCAGCAGUAGGGAAUCUUCCGCAAUGGGCGAAAGCCUGACGGAGCAACGCCGCGUGAGUGAAGAAGGUCUUCGGAUCGUAAAACUCUGUUAUUAGGUAAGAACAAAUGUGUAAGUAACUAUGCACGUCUUGACGGUACCUAAUCAGAAAGCCACGGCUAACUACGUG